rnacentral:rRNA from 1 species
CAGUCGCCGCGGGAAUACGUAGGUGGCAAGCGUUGUCCGGAAUUAUUGGGCGUAAAGGGCUCGCAGGCGGUUUCUUAAGUCUGAUGUGAAAGCCCCCGGCUCAACCGGGGAGGGUCAUUGGAAACUGGGAAACUUGAGUGCAGAAGAGGAGAGUGGAAUUCCACGUGUAGCGGUGAAAUGCGUAGAGAUGUGGAGGAACACCAGUGGCGAAGGCGACUCUCUGGUCUGUAACUGACGCUGAGGAGCGAAAGCGCGGGGAGCGAACAGGAUUAGAUACCCCGGUAGUCCCUGUCUCUUAUAC